AGCGUACACGGUGGAUGCCCUGGCAGUCAGAGGCGAUGAAGGACGUGCUAAUCUGCGAUAAGCGUCGGUAAGGUGAUAUGAACCGUUAUAACCGGCGAUUUCCGAAUGGGGAAACCCAGUGUGUUUCGACACACUAUCAUUAACUGAAUCCAUAGGUUAAUGAGGCGAACCGGGGGAACUGAAACAUCUAAGUACCCCGAGGAAAAGAAAUCAACCGAGAUUCCCCCAGUAGCGGCGAGCGAACGGGGAGGAGCCCAGAGCCUGAAUCAGUGUGUGUGUUAGUGGAAGCGUCUGGAAAGGCGCGCGAUACAGGGUGACAGCCCCGUACACAAAAAUGCACAUGCUGUGAGCUCGAUGAGUAGGGCGGGACACGUGGUAUCCUGUCUGAAUAUGGGGGGACCAUCCUCCAAGGCUAAAUACUCCUGACUGACCGAUAGUGAACCAGUACCGUGAGGGAAAGGCGAAAAGAACCCCGGCGAGGGGAGUGAAAAAGAACCUGAAACCGUGUACGUACAAGCAGUGGGAGCACGCUUAGGCGUGUGACUGCGUACCUUUUGUAUAAUGGGUCAGCGACUUAUAUUCUGUAGCAAGGUUAACCGAAUAGGGGAGCCGAAGGGAAACCGAGUCUUAACUGGGCGUUAAGUUGCAGGGUAUAGACCCGAAACCCGGUGAUCUAGCCAUGGGCAGGUUGAAGGUUGGGUAACACUAACUGGAGGACCGAACCGACUAAUGUUGAAAAAUUAGCGGAUGACUUGUGGCUGGGGGUGAAAGGCCAAUCAAACCGGGAGAUAGCUGGUUCUCCCCGAAAGCUAUUUAGGUAGCGCCUCGUGAAUUCAUCUCCGGGGGUAGAGCACUGUUUCGGCAAGGGGGUCAUCCCGACUUACCAACCCGAUGCAAACUGCGAAUACCGGAGAAUGUUAUCACGGGAGACACACGGCGGGUGCUAACGUCCGUCGUGAAGAGGGAAACAACCCAGACCGCCAGCUAAGGUCCCAAAGUCAUGGUUAAGUGGGAAACGAUGUGGGAAGGCCCAGACAGCCAGGAUGUUGGCUUAGAAGCAGCCAUCAUUUAAAGAAAGCGUAAUAGCUCACUGGUCGAGUCGGCCUGCGCGGAAGAUGUAACGGGGCUAAACCAUGCACCGAAGCUGCGGCAGCGACGCUUAUGCGUUGUUGGGUAGGGGAGCGUUCUGUAAGCCUGUGAAGGUGUGCUGUGAGGCAUGCUGGAGGUAUCAGAAGUGCGAAUGCUGACAUAAGUAACGAUAAAGCGGGUGAAAAGCCCGCUCGCCGGAAGACCAAGGGUUCCUGUCCAACGUUAAUCGGGGCAGGGUGAGUCGACCCCUAAGGCGAGGCCGAAAGGCGUAGUCGAUGGGAAACAGGUUAAUAUUCCUGUACUUGGUGUUACUGCGAAGGGGGGACGGAGAAGGCUAUGUUGGCCGGGCGACGGUUGUCCCGGUUUAAGCGUGUAGGCUGGUUUUCCAGGCAAAUCCGGAAAAUCAAGGCUGAGGCGUGAUGACGAGGCACUACGGUGCUGAAGCAACAAAUGCCCUGCUUCCAGGAAAAGCCUCUAAGCAUCAGGUAACAUCAAAUCGUACCCCAAACCGACACAGGUGGUCAGGUAGAGAAUACCAAGGCGCUUGAGAGAACUCGGGUGAAGGAACUAGGCAAAAUGGUGCCGUAACUUCGGGAGAAGGCACGCUGAUAUGUAGGUGAAGCGACUUGCUCGUGGAGCUGAAAUCAGUCGAAGAUACCAGCUGGCUGCAACUGUUUAUUAAAAACACAGCACUGUGCAAACACGAAAGUGGACGUAUACGGUGUGACGCCUGCCCGGUGCCGGAAGGUUAAUUGAUGGGGUUAGCGCAAGCGAAGCUCUUGAUCGAAGCCCCGGUAAACGGCGGCCGUAACUAUAACGGUCCUAAGGUAGCGAAAUUCCUUGUCGGGUAAGUUCCGACCUGCACGAAUGGCGUAAUGAUGGCCAGGCUGUCUCCACCCGAGACUCAGUGAAAUUGAACUCGCUGUGAAGAUGCAGUGUACCCGCGGCAAGACGGAAAGACCCCGUGAACCUUUACUAUAGCUUGACACUGAACAUUGAGCCUUGAUGUGUAGGAUAGGUGGGAGGCUUUGAAGUGUGGACGCCAGUCUGCAUGGAGCCGACCUUGAAAUACCACCCUUUAAUGUUUGAUGUUCUAACGUUGACCCGUAAUCCGGGUUGCGGACAGUGUCUGGUGGGUAGUUUGACUGGGGCGGUCUCCUCCUAAAGAGUAACGGAGGAGCACGAAGGUUGGCUAAUCCUGGUCGGACAUCAGGAGGUUAGUGCAAUGGCAUAAGCCAGCUUGACUGCGAGCGUGACGGCGCGAGCAGGUGCGAAAGCAGGUCAUAGUGAUCCGGUGGUUCUGAAUGGAAGGGCCAUCGCUCAACGGAUAAAAGGUACUCCGGGGAUAACAGGCUGAUACCGCCCAAGAGUUCAUAUCGACGGCGGUGUUUGGCACCUCGAUGUCGGCUCAUCACAUCCUGGGGCUGAAGUAGGUCCCAAGGGUAUGGCUGUUCGCCAUUUAAAGUGGUACGCGAGCUGGGUUUAGAACGUCGUGAGACAGUUCGGUCCCUAUCUGCCGUGGGCGCUGGAGAACUGAGGGGGGCUGCUCCUAGUACGAGAGGACCGGAGUGGACGCAUCACUGGUGUUCGGGUUGUCAUGCCAAUGGCACUGCCCGGUAGCUAAAUGCGGAAGAGAUAAGUGCUGAAAGCAUCUAAGCACGAAACUUGCCCCGAGAUGAGUUCU
rnacentral:rRNA from 1 species